AGUUGAGAAUGUCUAAUUGAUGGCUAGCUGUAUUUUGGUUUAAACCAGAAUACAGAAAAAUAUUUGGUGCCAAGUGUUAAAGGCAUGGGAUGGCUUAAAUACACUAAAUAUUUUUUCCUAGAUAUUCUGUACUGAAAUGGAGUAUGUCUUAUAUGCCAUAUAAUAUGAAAUGCUAUUUUAUACAAGCUAAAGACUUUUAUAUGAAGAUAGAAAGAUAUCAAAAAAGAAAAAAAUCAGGUGAUUUGAAGUUGUGUUUGUAAACAUUCUUUCGCCAUAUUACUUGUCACUUAACCCAGAGGAGUGUAAUCUGUGUAAUCUGUCUAUUAAUAAAUGCCUCUGCUUCAAAAUUUCAAAAAUUUAAUGGAGAGUGAUCAGAUAAAAAUGCAUUGAAAGGAACAGACUUGGUAAUGCUGGUGAGUAAUUUUUAAUGUUAUCUCUCAAAUCCAUCAUAAAUAAAUAUUCAAAAUUUAAAUGUUAUAACAUGUUUCAGAAUAGUAACAAAUAUUGCCAACUUUUGGCAUACAAAUCUACUCCCACGUAAACUUUUUGUUUUAUCAUUCAGUAGAUGGCAAAUCAUAAAGGUUUCUACUCAGUAUGUAUUUGGCCAUGAAUUAUUAUUAUUCACAGGAUACAAUAAUUUAAAAUAAAAUUAUAAGUAAGCAAUGCACAUUGAUAGUAAGUCAUAUACAGUGGCUGAUUGGUUGACGAACAGAUUGGUUAAUGAACAAAUCAGAUAACAAACACUUUUACGAAAGAUUUUUAUGUUUGGACAACGAACACCUCACAGAACAAAUACAAGAAGAAGCAAUGUAAAAUAAUGAAUACCGAUUGGUCUUCCCUUGUCUUCAGGCAACUAUUCGAAACUUUUCAGAGUGCAGGAGACGUCAACAUUGAUGCUCGACCUGGUAUAUACUUAUUGGAUAAUAUUCCUUUGAACUUUGAAACUUUCCCUUUUAUUCCAGCCUUUUAUUUUUCUGACAAACAAUUCUUUUAUAGUAUUUGCGAGAAUGUCGGGUGGGGACUUGUUAAGUUUUGCAUCAGUUUU
rnacentral:misc_RNA from 1 species